rnacentral:lncRNA from 1 species
UUUCCAAGGCCUAGGGACUCUGAAUCUACGAUCAGAGAUUUACUUGCUAAUUGAGUUCCUCAAGUAUCUGCUGGCAAGGAAUGACUUUGAUGUUUUGCUGCCAUUGCUGACGGGUGUCUGCGAAGGCAUCACUAGCACCCUUGGCCUUCUUACUGGUGGAAUCGUUAGCCUCUCCUGCGAUGAGCUCCAAUUCGAUAUAGAUGUUGUGUGCAGUGAACCCAUCGCCAUCAGCUUCCCAACCACCACGUCUUUCCAAAAGUGCUUGAAUUCGACUGGUCUCACUUGCGUCAACGACACACCGGUAGACGAGCCGGCAAUACUUGGAUUCUUGAGAGUAUUGGCGUGCCUGGUGAGGUACGUUCUCGACACCGCACCGAGCGAAAUCGUAAAGCAGCUGGGCUGUGAUUUGGUCGGUGUUGUUCACUCGAUCAGUGGCAGCUGCAGUGCGACGGUUGUUUCACCGUUGAUCUGCGCCUUGGAAAGAAUACUAAACACCGAGUGCUCUGUUGUCCAGUGCUAGAACAAAGGCUCCACCCUUUACAUGCACAUAUAAAUUUGAAACUCGGCAUAUCUAUUGUUUAUAUAACCAAAGAAAACUUGAUGGCAUAAAUUGAAGAUUGUUGAAACAUUUUGUUAUUCUGCUUUUGCCUGCAUACAUUCUAGGAAAGCGAACCUCAGCCCUUGCUCGCUAAACCUUUAAAUCUAAAUACAUUAUUUUCUCUCGAACGAGGUGUCAUUGAAGAUCGGUGACAUAUUAGGUAAAUAUGCCUCUGCGUUAAUUUGUUCGAGCCAAGCGAAGCGCUGUAACCCGAGGCAAGUCUUUUAAAUCAAUGCAAAAUAUCCUCUCUCCAGCGAUUUAUGCAGAAAGCCUACAUUUAAUGUACAGUAAAAACUUGUUCGCAACGUAAUUUCGCUCUUUAGCCACUAAACUAGCGAUAUAAAUCUUGAGUUCACACGUUCCCAGAUGCCAUGAAAUAUUGAUGCCUAGAAUUCCUGUCGCGAAUUUGCGUAUAUGUCAUAAACGUUCUUCCCUUUUAAAGAGCACAAAUGCAUGUUUUCGAUUUGAAAAUAAGAGCCGUAAAUACUGACUCACGAGAGCUCGCAUGCGAAAUUAAUUAAACUAUCAAUGCCAAAGCAUCUUCGUUAGCUGCUUUCCUUGUACCUAAAGUAGCUAAUUUCUAACUCAAAGAAAAUAUUUUCGAUUAUUUUGUACUAUAUUAUUAGUAAACGUUGAAAUCUGGCAAAGAAGUACUCAUUUUAAGGUCUAUUAACUAGCGCAUGCAUUUCCCUUCCUCUUACCUGUUCAUACGGAAAGAACUUAGGUUC